rnacentral:rRNA from 1 species
GAUGAACGCUAGCUACAGGCUUAACACAUGCAAGUCGAGGGACCGGCGCGCGGGUGAGUAACACGUAUACAACCUGCCCUUUACUCGGGGAUAGCCUUUCGAGAGAAAGAUUAAUACACGAUAUAAUGGAUGGGGAUGCGUUCCAUUAGGUUGUUGGUGAGGUAACGGCCCACCAAGCCUUCGAUGGAUGGGGGUUCUGAGAGCAAGCUACCCUGCAAUGGAACUGAGGCACGGUCCAAACUCGUACGCGAGGCAGCAGUGUGGAGUAUUGGUCAAUGAGCUUUAGCCUGAACCAGCCAAGUAGCGGGAAGGAUGAAGGCUUAUGGGUCGUAAACUUGUGUUAUAGAAGAAUAUGUAUUAUAUGAAGAAGGAUCGGCUAACUCCGUGCCAGCAGCCGCGGUAAUAC